rnacentral:misc_RNA from 1 species
GAUGAAGAACGUAGCGAAAUGCGAUACGUAGUGUGAAUUGCAGAAUUCAGUGAAUCAUCGAAUCUUUGAACGCACAUUGCACCUCUCGGUAUUCCGGGAGGUAUGCCUGUUCGAGCGUCAUUUGUACCCUCAAGCUCUGCUUGGUGUUGGGUGUUUGUUCCGCCUCUGUGUGUGAACUCGCCUCAAAACAAUUGGCAGCCGGCGUACUUGUUUCGGAGCGCAGCACAUUUUGCGAUCCAGAUCAACGUACAGCGGCAUCCAAGAAGCCUUAUUUAACGCUCUUGACCUCGGAUCAGGUAGGGAUACCCGCUGAACUUAAGCAUAUCAAUAAGCGGAGGA